rfam:Oryza sativa (indica cultivar-group) chromosome 1, whole genome shotgun sequence.
AAAAAAAGACAUCCUGAUUUUCGUGUCCAAUAUUUAACCGUCCGUCUUAUUUAAAAAAAUUAUAAAAAAAAUUAAAAAGAUAAGUCACGCAUAAAAUAUUAAUCAUGUUUUAUCAUCUAACAACAAUAAAAAUACGAAUUAUAAAAAAAUUUCAUAUAAGACGAACAGUCAAAAUUGUACACGAAAACCUAUAGUUUGACUUUUU